AGCUGUUUUGGGACUUCAAUUCCCAUCAUCCCUGACCACUGGCCCUGUUAGCUAGGGAUGAUGGGAGUUGUAGUCCCAAAACAGCU
rnacentral:miRNA from 1 species